rnacentral:rRNA from 1 species
ACCCCGGGCAUUGCCUCAGUAACGGCGAGUGAAGCGGCAAAAGCUCAAAUUUGAAAUCUGGCGGGCUUAGAUGACCGUCCGAGUUGUAAUUUGAAGAGCGGUCUUUGGAGAGGAACCUUGUCUAUGUUCCUUGGAACAGGACGUCACAGAGGGUGAGAACCCCGUGAGAUGAGGGAUACCGAUCUGUGUAAAGGCUGUUCGACGAGUCGAGUUGUUUGGGAAUGCAGCUCUAAGUGGGUGGUAAAUUCCAUCUAAAGCUAAAUAUUGGCGAGAGACCGAUAGCGAACAAGUACAGUGAUGGAAAGAUGAAAAGAACUUUGAAAAGAGAGUGAAAAAGUACGUGAAAUUGUUGAAAGGGAAGGUUAUUAGAUCAGACUUGGUGUGUGCGGAUAUUUGUUCUCUUGUAGGGCAUUCACUGCGCAUGCGCUGGGCCAGGGUGGAUUUUUCGGGGCGGGAUAAGAGCGGUGGGAAAGUGGCUUUGCCGUUAGUGGGAAAGUGUUAUAGCCUGCCGCGGAUGCCGCCACCGGGGAUCGAGGAAUGCGCGGGCCUUUGUUGGUCAGCUAGGAUCCUGGCGUAAUGAUCUAAUAUCGCCCGUCUUGAAMCMCGGACCA